CCAAGCUACAAAGAGCGAACGGUGGAUGCCUUGGCGUCUACUACCGAUGAAGGACGUGGGUGGCUGCGAAAAGCCACGGGGAGCUGCCGACCAAGCGUUGAUCCGUGGAUGUCCGAAUGGGGAAACCCGGCACCCGUCAUGGGGUGUCACUCCGGUCUGAACACAUAGGGCCGGUAGAGGGAACUGGGUGAACUGAAACAUCUCAGUAACCCGAGGAACGGAAAGCAACAGCGACUCCCUGAGUAGCGGCGAGCGAAACGGGAUCAGCCCAAACCGCAGUGGUGUCAUAGCCUGGUGGCGUUGCCACUGCGGGGUCGUGGGACUCGAUGGACGGUGCACCAGAACCGUCACGGAGUUACAAAAUCGCUGUGUAGUGGAAGUGUUUUGGAAAAGCACGCCACAGUGGGUAACAGCCCCGUACACGAAACGCAUGCGAUCUCCGAUCGAUGUUCCCAAGUAACGCCGGACCCGAGAAAUCUGGCGUGAAUUCGCGAAGACCACUUCGUAAGGCUAAGUAUACGUAGACGACCGAUAGUGAACUAGUACCGUGAGGGAAAGGUGAAAAGCACCCCGGGAGGGGAGUGAAAUAGUACCUGAAACCGUUCGCUUACAAGCAGUCAGAGCGUCGUCACCCUUGUGGUGGCCGUGAUGGCGUGCCUUUUGAAGAAUGAGCCAACGAGUUACGGUGUGUGGCGAGGUUAACCAGUGAUGGGGAGCCGGAGCGAAAGCGAGUCUGAACAGGGCGUUCAGUCGCAUGCUGUAGACCCGAAGCCGAGUGAUCUAUCCAUGGGCAGGCUGAAGCGGGGGUAAGACCCCGUGGAGGGCCGAACCCACUUAGGUUGAAAACUGAGGGGAUGACCUGUGGAUAGGGGUGAAAGGCCAAGCAAACUCGGUGAUAGCUGGUUCUCCGCGAAAUGCAUUUAGGUGCAGCGUUGCGUGUUCAGUCAUGGAGGUAGAGCACUGGAUGGGUUAGGGGGCCCACAAGCUUACCGACCCCAACCAAACUCCGAAUGCCAUGACUCCAGAGCGCAGCAGUGAGACCAUGGGGGAUGAGCUUCAUGGUCGAGAGGGAAACAGCCCAGAUCGCCGGCUAAGGCCCCUAAUUCCAGACUAAGUGGUAAACGAUGUGGGAUUGCACAGACAGCCAGGAGGUUGGCUUAGAAGCAGCCACCCUUGAAAGAGUGCGUAACAGCUCACUGGUCGAGUGAUCCUGCGCGGACAAUGUAACGGGGCUCAAGUCUGGAGCCGAAGCCGCGGAUCCGUCCUUGUGACGGGUGGUAGCGGAGCGUCGAGCGUGCAGUGAAGCGACGGUGGAAACCGGCGUGGAGCGCGUUCGAGUGAGAAUGUUGGCAUGAGUAGCGAGAGAGGGGUGAGAAACCCCUCCGCCGGAAGCCCAAGGGUUCCUGGGGAAGGCUAAUCCUCCCAGGGUGAGUCGGGAGCUAAGGCGAGGCCGAAAGGCGUAGUCGAUGCACAACCGGUUGAUAUUCCGGUACCACUGUGAGCGCGCCCAUUCCAAGUCGAGGUUGCUAAGGGGCUGUCAUCCCUUCGGGGAUGUACGAACCGACCCACUUCGAGGCGGAAAGCAAUGAGGGGACGCAGGAGGGUAGGUGAUCCCAGGCGACGGUUGUCCUGGGGUAAGUGUGUAGGACGGGGACUAGGCAAAUCCGGGCCCCAUCAAGUCUGAGACACGAACCGAGCCGCAUAGGCGAAGUCAUUGAUCCCAUGCUGCCGAGAAAAGCCUCUAGCGAGCUCUCACGGUGCCCGUACCCCAAACCAACUCAGGUGGGCAGGUAGAGAAUACCAAGGCGAUUGGGAGAACUGUGGUUAAGGAACUCGGCAAAAUACAUCCGUAACUUCGGGAGAAGGAUGACCCCAUCAGGGUGACGGGACUUGCUCCCCGAGCUCGAAGGGGUGGCACAAACCAGGGGAAAGCGACUGUUUACUAAAAACACAGCAGCGUGCGAAGUCGCAAGACGAUGUAUACGCUGUGACGCCUGCCCGGUGCCGGAAGGUUACGGGGAAGGGUUAGCUGCUUUGGCAGCGAAGCUCUGAACCUAAGCCCCGGUAAACGGCGGCCGUAACUAUAACGGUCCUAAGGUAGCGAAAUUCCUUGUCGGGUAAGUUCCGACCUGCACGAAUGGCGUAACGACUUUCCUACUGUCUCAACCACAGACCCAGCGAAAUUGAAGUACGAGUAAAGAUGCUCGUUAGCUGCAGAAGGACGGAAAGACCCCGUGGACCUUUACUAUAGCUUGAUGUUGGGUUUUGUUAUGCGUUGUGUAGGAUAGGUGGGAGGCGAGGAAGCGUUGGCGCUAGUCAGCGUGGAGCCAUCCUUGAAAUACCACCCUGCGUAUGACGGAGCUCUAACCCAGACCCGUGAUCCGGGUCGGGGACAGCGUCAGGUGGGUAGUUUGACUGGGGCGGUCGCCUCCUAAAAGGUAACGGAGGCGCUCAAAGGUUCCCUCAGCCUGGUUGGCAAUCAGGCGUCGAGUGCAAUGGCACAAGGGAGCUUGACUGCGAGACUGACACGUCAAGCAGGUGCGAAAGCAGGACAUAGUGAUCUGACGGUUGCGUGUGGAAGCGCCGUCACUCAACGGAUAAAAGGUACCCCGGGGAUAACAGGCUCAUCUUCCCCAAGAGUCCAUAUCGACGGGAAGGUUUGGCACCUCGAUGUCGGCUCAUCGCAUCCUGGGGCUGAAGCAGGUCCCAAGGGUUGGGCUGUUCGCCCAUUAAAGCGGUACGCGAGCUGGGUUUAGAACGUCGUGAGACAGUUCGGUCCCUAUCCUCUGCAGCCGGAAGGAACUUGAGAAAGGCUGUCCCUAGUACGAGAGGACCGGGACGGACGCAGCUCUCGUGUGCCAGUUGUCCUGCCAAGGGCACGGCUGGUUGGCGACCUGCGGAAGGGAUAAGCGCUGAAAGCAUCUAAGCGCGAAGCUCGUUUCAAGAUGAGGUUCCUCACCGGGUCAACCGGGUAAGGCCCGUGGCAGACCACCACGUUGAUAGGCCGGAAGUGUACGCACGGCAACGUGUUCAGCUGACCGGUACUAAUCGGCCGAGGGCUUGGAUCUCUCUC
rnacentral:rRNA from 1 species